UCGGCGGUAUUUAUUAUUCUUUCGAUCGGCUUUUGUUAAUUUGUCCUCGGCGUAUUAUCGACGUGAACUUGUACAUGUUUAUAUGUUUAUAUGAAACAUUGUCUUAAUAUUAUUGAGAUAAACAUGUUUUGUUGUUUUUGUCUAACGGUCGCCUACACUUAAGAUGUUAUUUAGUUUUCGUCUUGUCGCAUGGCAGUCGGCAUAUCUGUAACGAGCGGUAUCUCAAGAUUGUUUUUCAGUAUUUUUUGACAAUUUAUUUCGUGAUAAUGGAUCGCAAAGGAAGUAGAUCGACUCUUAAACGACAAAGAUGUGAUAAUAGAAAAGGUCAUCGUUAUGAAAUAGAACAAGAUGACAAGGUUGCAAGCGCAGCGGCAAAGAAGUUAAAGACCGGUGACUUUCCCGACGUUUCUGUGAAUUCAACAAUAAGCUACAAACUGAUAAACUUUUUUACUGUAUUUUUGACGAUUUUAAAUUUUGUGAAGUUUGUGAUCACAACAUAACUUUCGAGAAAUCAAGCUGUCGCGGACUCAGUUUCAAAUUAGUUAUAAAAUGUAAAUCUUGUAAUCCGAAAUAUAUAGAUUCAUGCCCUUUAGUCGGUAACGCUUACGAAAUAAAUCAUAGAUUUAUAUUUGCCAUGAGACUACUGAGUUGGACUGAACGGUGCUGAAACAUUUUGUGCGUUUGUGGAUAUGCCACGACCAAUUUUUCAGUCUUUUUAUGACACAAUUGUUAACAGCAUAUAUACUGUUUCGAAAGCGGUAGCCGAAACUUUCAUGAAAAAAAGUGCUAAUAAAGGAAAAAACUUGACGAGAGAAGCAACAGGACAAAUAUAGGACUAACGGUGUCAAGAGAUGGCACUUGGAUGAAAUGAAGCUUCAAUUCUUUGUUGGUGUCGCCAGUUUGAUUAGUUUUCAUACAAAAAAAGUUAUCGAUGUUGCCAUAAAGUCUGCGUACUGUCAUGUCUGUAAAUUGCAUGAAAACGACCUUGAUGAUAUCGAACAUGAGAUGUGGAGACAGGAACAUGCAAAUUAUUGUGUCAUGAACCACGGAGUCUUCGAGAAAAUGAAAGUCGACACGGUACGUGAGAUGUUCCUCAUAUCGGAAAAGUUGUACGGUACGCAACACUUAUUAUAUCGGUGAUGACGAUAGCAAAACCUAUAAAGCUAUUAUUGGUUCAAAAGCGACAUGGCGACAAAAUUAUUGUAAAAAAAGAGUGCAUUAACCAUAUGUAAAAGCGAAUAGGCACGAGAUUACGACAAUUGAAAAAAAACACAAAGGAUUUAGCGGUAGAGGCAAGUUGACUGAUAAAAUGAUCAACGAGUUGUGCAACUAUUAUGGAAAAGUCAUUCAUGAAAAUAAUGAUUCUGUCGAAAAAAUGCGCAAUGCUAUAUGGGCUAUCUUAUAUCAUAAAAAUUCGUCAGACGAAGAUCUAAAACAUUACUUGUAUCCAGAAAGUGCGAAUGCGUGAUGCACUUGGCAGCGCGCAAAAGCUGCCGGUAAUCUGCAAGCAUAAACAAUUGCUGCAGAAUGUUGUCGAUGCAAUCACUCCUAUUUAUACGGGUUUGAGCAAGCCAGAGUUGCUGGAACGUUGCCUAGGUGAAUUUACACAAAACUGCAAUGAGAGCUUUAAUGCUCUCAUUUAGAAGUUUGCACCGAAAACUUCAUCAAGUCGGGCUAUUAUUGUGCAAAUCGUAUUUGACGGUUUCCAUUUUUAAUAAUGAAAUGUCAUCUUUAUUACAAGUAUUAGAUGCAAUGCAAAUCAAGAUUGGGCUCAAAAUGUACUUAUUUUGUAUAGCGAAAAACUAGCACCGCAUGAGCCAACACUGAAAAAUUAAUAUUCUUGUUUUUAGGAAAAUCCUCUAAAAUAGGCGCCAAGUAUAAAAUAUUUUAAAUAUAAGAUUUAUUCCUCUUGUUUUGAGAGAAAAUUCUGUACACAGAGAGAAGAGUUUCUCUAAACAAGAGGAAUAAAUCUUAUAUUUAGAAUAUUUUAUACUUGGUGCCUAUUUUAGAGGAUUUUUCUAAAAACAAGAAUAUUAAUUUUUCAAUAAAGCUGAUGCGCGUUCAUCUACUGGAAGUGUUACAAACGAUCCAAACUUCAAUCAAAGAGUGAAUUUGCCUUCCACAAGUAUCUAAGACCUCUAUUAUAGACCAGGAAUCGAUGAAUUGUGAUCAUUAUUAGACGAAUAUGAUGACAACAAAUAAGACGCUUCUUCCGUUCAGUGUGUUGCAACUACCUCUACAAGUGUACCUUAAAAUACAUAUUUCUCAAUACAAUAAUUCGUAAACUUA